rnacentral:rRNA from 1 species
UUUUAACGAGAGUUUGAUCCUGGCUCAGGAUGAACGCUGGCGGCGUGCCUAACACAUGCAAGUCGAGCGAAGCACUUUGCUUAGAUUCUUCGGAUGAAGAGGAUUGUGACUGAGCGGCGGACGGGUGAGUAACGCGUGGGUAACCUGCCUCAUACAGGGGGAUAACAGUUAGAAAUGACUGCUAAUACCGCAUAAGACCACAGCACCGCAUGGU